CAUGGUUCCUAGUCGGAUUCGUUAACCACUGCGCCACGACGGGAACUCCGACACCUCAUCUUUAGUGGAGACGUGCGUGAUGUCUAAGGAUGAAGCAAACCCCCUUUCCUCCUGAAACCAGCGAGCUGUCCACUUUUGCUACCAUGGGGCUUGGCGCAUCCGUUCUGGGGCUGAGUGACAGUUUACCCUCCUCCCCCUCUGGCCCUGCCACCCUCGGGCGUCUGCCCUGCAGGUCGUAGCCUCAGCCUUGUCCCUGCGGAAAGCUGUGUUUGAACGAGUUCAGCCCGGGGAGUAGUGCAGGCCAGGAGGGAAUGGGGCCCCCCGGGGAAGGAGCCCGGGGUCGGGGCUGGAGGGAGACGCUUAACAGUCACUGCUCAGCUGAGGCAGGGUCCCCAGCUCACGUGCGCACCAGCACCUCCUGGAGGAUGCAGCCGGAUAUCCAGGCCCCUUCUGGAGCAUCUCCGUUUAGCAUCCAGUUUAGUUGCUUUCGGAGGAAGAGGGAUCAAAUGUUCAAAGGUCCCCAGGGAGCCAAGUGCAGUGGGCUGAGAGCCACAGGCCAGGUGCCCCUCGGCUUCUCGGUGGCUCUGUGGCCCUGCUGGGCAGGGCUGGCAGACGUCCGCUCAGCCUCUGUCAGUGAUUCCUGACCAUUCAGCAUGAAAUCGGGGCUGGUGCGGGGGGCAUAACAGUGCUGUCACCUGCACUGUCACCUAAGCAGCCAGGUUGAUUGCUGGGCACAGGAAAGGAACCCUCCCUCCUCCCCGCCCCCACCGCCACCUCUUUUCUCCUGGUUUGAAACAGUGACAGUUUCCUUUUGGCUUGUCGGGCUUUCCAAGCCGUAGACGGAGGAAUUUAGCACACGUCCACAACAGGGCGUGUCCUACAUGAGGCCAGCGGCACUUGGCCUCCUGUUUGGCCGCUCCCUUGAGAUUUCAGUGCAGGUUGGGAAGUCUUGUGGCUUUUCCUGGAAUUAAAUGCCAGGCAGCCUCGGAUGGGCCGGGCGCUGAUCCGUGGGGUCCCCAGAGCCGUGUGCGGGGAACACAAAGGGGCAGGGGACAGUCAGGAGACAGCCAAGCAGCUCGUCAACGUCCCAGUUUCCGUCGGUGUCGUUGUUAGGGUGUUUUUCCGUGCUCACCAGUUUUCUUGCCUCUGCAGGCUCGAGGUGGAGAGGCCGGGGCUCCGAUCAUGCUGUUCACCUGAGCCCCGGGCUUGGAGGGGCAGCGUGGGAGGGGCUGGUGCCAGCCUUUCGGACAUUCGGGUCCGCAUAAGGCCCAGAGCCUCCAGGCUUGCAGAUGCCCCUGGGGUGGGGUGGGGGUGCUGGGGGAGGAAGGACCAGGAGAGUGUCACCAGGGUGGCACUCCGUGGAGCCCAGGCCCUGCCUGAGAGGCGGAGUCCCCAGCGACUUCACCACCAAGGGGAGUUUAGCUCAGGGAGUGCCCGUCUUCCAAGCUCUGCCCUGUCUGCCCGGGGGGUGGCCUGAAGGGGCACUGGGUUUGGGGAUGGAUACCGUGGGCGCCUCGGCUCUCACCCUGCUUCUCGGAACUCCGGGACUGGGCCCCGCAGAACCUUGGUUUCUUCGUUGGCAGAAGUGGGUGAACGUUGCUGUGUCUCCGACAGGGUCAAGGCUCAAAAUGAGCCGUGCCAGUCACCAUGGUGAUGACAUUGGGAGAGGCCCAGGGCAGUCGUGUGGGACCCCGUAGGGCUGCUGGGGGGGCUUCGAGGCAGGGUGGAAAGGGCCUUGGCUCUAGAGAAACCUGGGUUCAAAUCCCAGCCUGGUAGUGUUUUCGCUGUGCGACGUUGGACUUGCUACCUAAGCUCUCUGAGUCUCAGGCUCCUUUGCAGUCAACAGGGAGAGCGUGGCCUGAGGAUUACGGCGGGGUGUGUGUGAGAGAGAGAGACAGGAGGGCUGGGGUUUUGCUUGGUAUCUGCUGGCACACAGUAGGUGCUCAAUAACAUUUGCAUGAGCCAAUGGGAAAGCAUGUUCCCUUCUCACGUCCUGAGCAGGUGGGAGAACUUUCUCGCACCCGAGGCACCGCAAGUCCUCAGGGAGAUUAUGCCUGGCUGCCUCGGCCCUGUACACCCUGCAGACCCACCGCAGGCAGCUCAGAGGGGCAGGCCGGGCCAAGGAGGGAGGGGCAGGGGCAGCCCGCCCAGCUUGGCGCUGCCACCACCGAGAGGCGUCCCCCCAGGAACCUGAUGUGCCUCUGAUAGGCCUCCCUCAGCCCUUUCCCUUCAUCCAUAAGUAAUAACUGUCUCACAUUCAGCCGGACCUCCUGGAGCUGUGACAUGUGCCAGGAGGCGGAUGCUAAUGAGCGCCAGCUCAGGUGUUCCUGAACCUGCCCGCCUGUCGCGGCCCCACCUCCGGGCCUCUGCUCACACUGCACCGUCAGCGGGGCCUUGCCUUCCCUCCGUCCCUGCCCCACCUGUCUGCCUGUCAGAGUCCUGCUUGCUCUUCAGGGCUCCGCUCAGAUGCUGCCUCCUUCAGGAAGGAGCCCCUGAUUUCCCUGUGGGCACAUCCUUGCUCUCUGCCCCCUCAUCCCCAGGCUGUGCCUCUUCACUUCACCAUUUUUUCACCCUUCAGCAAAUGUGCUUAUUCCUGCAGCUCCUUCAUUAGGCAGUAGGGGAUUGUGCCUUUGGACAAGCAUGUGUGAUGGCUGGUCCUGCUGGCACCUGGCUCUGUGACCUUGGCUGGACCCAUUCCCCCUCUGCAUGUUCUUUUUCUCUUCUGUAGGACUGGUUUUUUUGUUGCCACCUGGCAGGGAGGGACCAGAGGGUAGCAGAAUGGGUACAUCUGCCCUCCUCACAGCUGAGUUGGGAAACGUCAGGGUUUCAGGGGCUUCUGUCCAGCAGCCAUUCAGCUUCUUGCUUUCCACUAGUGAUGGGGAGCUCACACCCUGCUGGUAGCCUAGGCUGUCACGAAGCUGGUAACUUUCUUUUCCCGUCCUGCAUCUGGGGACUCUGUGCCCUGUAAGAAUUCAGUCCUUUGGUGACCUUUGGGGUUGCUCAGGGGCUGGGAGGAGGUGGCCCUGAGCUUGGAACAUCCUUUAAGAAGAGGUGCCAGGGAGUUCCUGCUGGGCCACAGCAGGUUAAGGAGCUGGUGGUGCUGUCUUUGUAGUGGAGCGUAUUUGAUCCCUGUCUGGCUCAGUGGGUUAAAUAUCUGGUGUUGCUGCAGCUGUGGUAUAGGUCGCAGCUGUGGUUUGGAUACGAUCUCUGGCCCAGGAACUUCCAUGUACUGUGGGAGCAGCCAAAAAAGAAAAAAAAAGAGAGCGAAUAAGAUAAGGAAUAGAGUUCCUAUUGUGGCUUGGUAAUAACAAACCUGACCAGUGUCCAUCAGGAUGCAGGUUUGAUCCCUGGACUUGCUCAGUGGGUUAAGGAUCUGGCCUUGCUGUGAGCUGUGGUGUAGGUUGCAGAGGCGGCUCAGAUCCUGCAUUGCUGUGGCUCUGGUGUAGGCUGGUGGCUGCAGCUCUGAUUUGACCCCUAGCCUGGGAACUUCCAUAUGCCUAGGGUGUGGCCCUAAAAAGCAAAAGAAAAAAAAAAAAAGAAAGAAAGAAAAAAG
ensembl:lncRNA